UACGAAGGGGGCUAGCGUUGUUCGGAAUUACUGGGCGUAAAGCGUGCGCAGGCGGCUUCUCAAGUCAGGGGUGAAAGCCCAGAGCUCAACUCUGGAAUUGCCUUUGAGACUGAGUGGCUUGAGUACGAGAGAGGUGAGUGGAAUUCCCAGUGUAGAGGUGAAAUUCGUAGAUAUUGGGGAGAACACCGGUGGCGAAGGCGGCUCACUGGCUCGUAACUGACGCUCAUGCACGACAGCGUGGGGAUCAAACAGG
rnacentral:rRNA from 1 species